CGCGGGGUAGAGCAGCUUGGUAGCUCGCAAGGCUCAUAACCUUGAGGUCACGGGUUCAAAUCCUGUC
rnacentral:tRNA from 1 species